rnacentral:rRNA from 1 species
CUACGGGCCGCAGCAGUGGGGAAUUUUGGACAAUGGAGGAAACUCUGAUCCAGGGAUACCGCGUGGGUGAUGAAGAUUUACGGAUUGUAAAGCCCUUUUAGUAGGGAAAAUAAUGAUGGUACCUACAGAAAAAGCAUCAGCUAACUCUGUGCCAGCAGCUGCGGUAAUACAGAGGAUGCGAGUGUUAUUCGGAAUCACUGGGCGUAAAGGGCGCGUAGGCGGUUAUUUAAGUCCGCAAUGAAAUACCGGGGCUCAACUUCGGUGCUGUUGUGGAUACUGUUUAACUAGAGAACGGAAGAGGUGAAUAGAAUUCCUGGUGGAGAGGUGAAAUUCUUAGAUAUCAGGAGGAAUGCCAGAGGCGAAAGCGGUUCACUGGGACGUUUCUGACGCUGAGGCGCGAAAGCGUGGGGAUCAAACAGGAUUAGAUACCCCAGUAGUC